AUAACAGCCGGAAACGGCUGCUAAUACCGCAUAUGCGCACAGUGCCGCAUGGCACAGUGCGGAAAGCCUAGAUCUUAUCUAGUACGGUACACGAUGGGUCCGCGUCUGAUUAGGUAGUUGGCGGGGUAACGGCCCACCAAGCCCACGAUCAGUAGCCGGCCUGAGAGGGCGGACGGCCACACUGGGACUGAGACACGGCCCAGACUCCUGCGGGAGGCAGCAGUGGGGAAUAUUGCACAAUGGGGGGAACCCUGAUGCAGCGACGCCGCGUGAAGGAAGAAGUAUCUCGGUAUGUAAACUUCUAUCAGCAGGGAAGAAAGAGGACGGUACCUGACUAAGAAGCCCCGGCUAACUACGUGCCAGCAGCCGCGGUAAUACGUAGGGGGCGAGCGUUAUCCGGAUUUACUGGGUGUAAAGGGAGCGUAGACGGCCAUGCAAGCUCGGUGUGAAAGGUGCGGGCACAACCCGCAGACUGCACUGAGAACUGUAUGGCUGGAGUGCCGGAGGGGCAGGCGGAAUUCCUGGUGUAGCGGUGAAAUGCGUAGAUAUCAGGAGGAACACCGGUGGCGAAGGCGGCCUGCUGGACGGCGACUGACGUUGAGGCUCGAAAGCGUGGGGAGCGAACAGGAUUAGAUACCCUGGUAGUCCACGCCGUAAACGAUGUAUACGAGGUGUCGGGCAUCAAGGAUGGCCGGUG
rnacentral:rRNA from 1 species